rnacentral:rRNA from 1 species
CCUACGGGUGGCUGCAGUGGGGAAUAUUGGACAAUGGGGGGAACCCUGAUCCAGCCAUGCCGCGUGUGUGAAGAAGGCCCUCGGGUUGUAAAGCACUUUCAGUGAGGAAGAACGCCUGGUGGUUAAUACCCAUCAGGAAAGACAUCACUCACAGAAGAAGCACCGGCUAACUCCGUGCCAGCAGCCGCGGUAAUACGGAGGGUGCGAGCGUUAAUCGGAAUUACUGGGCGUAAAGCGCGCGUAGGUGGCUUGAUAAGCCGGUUGUGAAAGCCCCGGGCUCAACCUAGGAACGGCAUCCGGAACUGUCAAGCUAGAGUGCAGGAGAGGAAGGUAGAAUUCCCGGUGUAGCGGUGAAAUGCGUAGAGAUCGGGAGGAAUACCAGUGGCGAAGGCGGCCUUCUGGACUGACACUGACACUGAGGUGCGAAAGCGUGGGUAGCAAACAGGAUUAGAUACCCGGGUAGUC